GGCUUUGAUAACACACAAGAGUAUAUUGGAUUUAUUUAUUUUCGCGGGUAUCAAUUUCGUGGAUUGCGAAAAUCUGACAUUUUCGAAGAUGUUUAUGCGAUUGCUUGGUUCUGCCAAAGUUUGGAUACAACUUCAAAUUUGUUUUAGUGCGUUGAACAUUUAAAUUCGUGGUUCAUUGGUACACACGAAACCUACUAAAUUUGAUAUCAAACAAAUAAUAAUAAGUUCAUAGUUUUAAACGGUAAAUCAAAGGUAAAAUAAAAAAAAUCCUGAACUCCGAGUAAAACACAAAUGACGGAUUACUGGUUUGUUACCAAUUGUUGACGCGCCGACAAAUUAGAACGUGACACACAAAGAGACUAUCAGAAGGAUAUGACAUCACAAGUUAAUGGCUCGCAACUAUACACUGUAGAACAAAAAAAUGUUACAAACACUAGAAGAUAAAAUAAAUUUGUGAUUAAUUUUUCUUUUUUUUUUUUGUAAUGCAUAUAAUGAAUAUGUUCAUCUUUUGGUUUUCUUUCGAACAACCAAACGUCUGUUUAAUUACAGGUUUUUUUGUAACGUUCCUGUUCUGUUUACGUACAUUGUUACUACAUGACUUCUUUUUUAAAU
rnacentral:lncRNA from 1 species